GAUGAACGCUGGCGGCGUGCCUAAUACAUGCAAGUCGAGCGAACAGACGAGGAGCUUGCUCCUCUGACGUUAGCGGCGGACGGGUGAGUAACACGUGGAUAACCUACCUAUAAGACUGGGAUAACUUCGGGAAACCGGAGCUAAUACCGGAUAAUAUAUUGAACCGCAUGGUUCAAUAGUGAAAGACGGUUUUGCUGUCACUUAUAGAUGGAUCCGCGCCGCAUUAGCUAGUUGGUAAGGUAACGGCUUACCAAGGCAACGAUGCGUAGCCGACCUGAGAGGGUGAUCGGCCACACUGGAACUGAGACACGGUCCAGACUCCUACGGGAGGCAGCAGUAGGGAAUCUUCCGCAAUGGGCGAAAGCCUGACGGAGCAACGCCGCGUGAGUGAUGAAGGUAUUCGGAUCGUAAAACUCUGUUAUUAGGGAAGAACAAAUGUGUAAGUAACUAUGCACGUCUUGACGGUACCUAAUCAGAAAGCCACGGCUAACUACGUG
rnacentral:rRNA from 1 species